UGGGGGAUAUUGCACAAUGGGCGAAAGCCUGAUGCAGCGACGCCGCGUGGGGGAUGAAGGCCUUCGGGUUGUAAACUUCUUUUGCUCUGAACAAGGCGCACCAUGGGGUGUGUUGAGUGUAGGGGUUGAUUAGCGCCGGCUAACUACGUGCCAGCAGCCGCGGUAAUACGUAGGGCGCGAGCGUUGUCCGGAAUUAUUGGGCGUAAAGGGCUUGUAGGUGGCUGGUUGCGUCUGUCGUGAAAGCUCAUGGCUUAACUGUGGGUUUGCGGUGGGUACGGGCUGGCUUGGGUGCAGUAGGGGAGGCUGGAAUUCCUGGUGUAGCGGGGGAAUGCGCAGAUAUCAGGGGGAAUACCGGUGGCGAAGGCGGGUCUCUGGGCUGUUACUGACACUGAGGAGCGAAAGCAUGGGGAGCGAACAGG
rnacentral:rRNA from 1 species